CCUCUCUCUUUCCUGUUUCUCUUUGUGUACUUCUCAACUGCAUGGGGUGGAGGAUUAGGCAGGGGAGGGGGAAGAGAAGGCACCUGCUUCUGAUAUUAGGUUAUCAGUAAUUUCACAAUAUAGGGAGCCUUUUAAAUAUUAAUGCAGAAUAGUAACUCAGCUGCAACCAGCCUUUUUCCCUGUUUCACAGUGUCUGGACAGCCAGUGGACAUCCUUAGAUCUCUGGGGAUUCUUCAGAGCAGGGUGGCAUGAUAGGUGAGUGCAGGGAUGAGAGGAGAGCCAAAAGAGAAGGGGCAAACUUGCUGCACUGCUUUCUCCCCUCAUUUCCUACACUCUUUUCCGCCCCCACCUCCCUGGGUUGCUAUGCAGUUUCUAUGGCAGCAGCAUCCUCAGACUCAACUUUCACCCAUCAUUUAGAGCCAAUUAAGGUAAAAUAGUGAAGGGGAGGGGGAAGAGGAGGACGGGAAGAUAAGGGGGAGUGUUGUAGGGGGGAAGAGGGAGGAGAAUCCAAUUUAAUGCUGCAAGUGAAGCGUUUACUCUGCCAAAGUCGCAUUACAGAUUCUAAAGCUGCAAUUAUAGCUCCUCUUUUUCUCUUUCCAAGCCUGAGCGGGAAGCAACAACUCUUCUCUCAGCUGUGGUAUUGGUGGGUAAAGGACACAUCACAGAAGCAGCCAUAUUGAAGACCCCUUGGGGGGGAAACCCCAACAUCCCAGAAGACCCUUCAAGACUUCAGCAAUUGACUACAUCUCUUCUGACUCACUCUCUCUCUCUCUCUCUCUCUCUCUCUCUCUCUCUCUCUCUCUCUCUCUCUCUCUCCCCCCUCCCCCUCCUUCUCUCUUUCUCUUUCUCUGUCUCUCUCUCCCAUUUCAUUUUUCCCUGUCUUUCAGUUCAUCUGACUCUUUUCUCCUCUUACAUCUCUUCCCUCCCUCUAUUUCUAUCUCUCAUUCACCAGAGAAGAAAAAUAGUAAAAAAUGCCAAUUGCCCAGUUAUUGGAACUAUGGAAAAAGAUCGAGGUGGAGCCCAUGGAAAUAGAGACCACUGAGGAGGAGGUCAACCUCGAUGCAGAAUCUGCAACAGAAGAGGCCACCAAAGAAGUAACUAUAUUUGCUUUCUAACAUUCUGGUAACCCGAGAGUAGGAGGUUGGAUUUUGCUAG
rnacentral:lncRNA from 1 species